ACGUCGGUAGUGCAACGGUUCAGCACGCGCCAUCUGAUAUGGUGAAAUGUUGGUUCGAAUGCCAUCUGACGCA